rnacentral:rRNA from 1 species
UACGUAGGGGGCAAGCGUUGUCCGGAUUUAUUGGGCGUAAAGAGCGUGUAGGCGGCCAAGCAGGUCUGUUGUGAAAACUGGAGGCUCAACCUCCAGACGUCGACAGAAACCGCUCGGCUAGAGUCCGGAAGAGGCGAGUGGAACUCCUGGUGUAGCGGUGGAAUGCGCAGAUAUCAGGAAGAACACCAACGGCGAAGGCAGCUCGCUGGGACGGUACUGACGCUGAGACGCGAAAGCGUGGGGAGCGAACAGG